AACUCUUAGCCUUCUGACUAAGAUCAAGAGGAGUCCUGCUCUUGUCAGCUUAAUAUCUCAUGUACCUUCUAUCUAAGAUUGAUAUGGUAAAGUAUGAUAAGUGUACUUUUAUAGUAGGAAAGUGGAGUAGCCUGUUCUGACCAUUGCACACACUGGCUUGGUACUGCAGUGCCUCUAGGAGCUGUAUAUAGCAU